rnacentral:rRNA from 1 species
UACGAAGGGGGCAAGCGUUGUUCGGAAUUACUGGGCGUAAGGGGCGCGUAGGCGGCCGAUCAAGUCAGGCGUGAAAUUCCCGGGCUCAACCUGGGGGCUGCGCUUGAUACUGGUUGGCUUGAAUGCGGGAGAGGAUAGUGGAAUUCCCAGUGUAGAGGUGAAAUUCGUAGAUAUUGGGAAGAACACCGGUGGCGAAGGCGGCUAUCUGGCCCGAUACUGACGCUGAGACGCGAAAGCGUGGGGAGCAAACAGG